rnacentral:lncRNA from 1 species
GGCACCUUGAUCUUGGACUUCUCAGACUUCAAAACUAAUGCAAGCUCCACAAGGCCAGGAAUCUUUCCUGUCCAAUUCACCACAGCAGCCUCAACCUGGCAGACAGUUCAGCAUACAGCUAAAUAAUGGCUCCCAAAGAUGUGUCUACAUCCUAAUCUCCAGAAUCUGUGAAUGUUACUUUAUGUGGCAAGUACGUGGCAGAUGUAAUUAAGUCAAGGAUCUUUGGAUGGUUAUCCUGAAUUAUCUGGGUGGGCCCUAAAUACAAUCACAAGUGUCCUUAUAGGAGAGAGGCUGAAGGAGAUUUGGUACCAACAGAAGAGGAGGAGGAAAUUGUGAUCAUGCAGAAACUGGAGUGAUGGAGUCACAAGCCAAGGAAUGCCAGCAGCCACCAGAAGCCGAAAGAGGCCCUGCCAACACCUUGAUUUAGGCCUAAUGAAACUGAGUUUAGAUUUCUGGACCCCAGAACUGUGAAAGAAUAAAUUUCUGUUGUGUUAAGCCCCUAAUUUUGUGGUAAUGUGUCACAGCAGCCCUUGGAACCUAAUACACUCCCCAAGCCAUCACAAUGACGGUUAAGGGAAGUAAAACGAUAAAAUUCAUAAAGAUAAAGAGAAUAACAGAAAAGGAUUUCAAUAAGUGUUUGGAAGAUGGAAAAGGAAAGAAUGAGAAGCAACUUACUUAUCAGAGUAGAGAAAAUUACCUGAGAGCCUGGAGAAAGGGAAGUGAAUAAGACAGAGUCAGUUCUCCCCAGAGAAGCCAGACACAGGGUCAUUGAGCACCAAGCAGGGGCAGGAGUGGGGUGCAGGGCUGGCACUGGGGAUAGAGUGGAAACAUUAACAUGGACCUUGGAUCCCUGGGCCCUGACUCCUCUGACACUGGUCUUCCUGAACUAGCUGCAUCCCUUCUUGUCAUGCCCUCCACUCCAGUCCCUGCCCUUGACCCCACCACCACCACCUCAGCUGACACACAUCAGUUCAGCUCACACUCCUUCUGUUAGAAAGAACCAGUCACAAGGUUCUUCCUGAAUGCAAUGGGGCUGGGAAAUGCUGAGCAGUGCCAGGCACAGGCUUCCUCUAAACCACUCUGCACCAAGGAAGAAGGACAUUUUUUUGAUGGUCUAAUACCCGUCUCUGCCACACUCUCUAAGGCAAUUAAUUUUAAAAUUUUAGAAUACUGGAAAUAAAGAAAAGAUACUAAAAACUUCCAGAAUGAAAAACCAGGUCACAUAUUGCCUUAUGGAUCAGCAAUCUGACUGGCAUCAGCCUUUUCAAUAGCAAUACAAAAUGCCAGAAGACAACAGGGCAAUGCCCUCAAAAUUCUGAGAGAAAAUAUCUUGCUAAUAAAACAUCUAUUACACCUAGCAAGCAGCCAUCCCAAAGGCAGAAGGCUGUGAAAGAACAAAAGGGAGCUAUCUAGGGAGAAAAACAUAACUGUUAAUUAUUAUUAUAAUAAUAAUAUAUUUUUAGAGACAAGGUCUCUGUCAACCCAUGCUGAGGUG